GCGUCCGUAGCUCAAUUGGACAGAGCGGAUGGCUUCGGACCAUCAGGUUGCGGGUUCAAGUCCUGCCGGGCGCG
rnacentral:tRNA from 1 species